AUUGAACGCUGGCGGCAGGCCUAACACAUGCAAGUAGAACGAGUGGCGGACGGGUGAGUAAUGUCUGGGAAACUGCCUGAUGGAGGGGGAUAACUACUGGAAACGGUCGCUAAUACCGCAUACUAUCAGAUGACCCCAGAUGGGAUUAGCUAGUAGGUGGGGUAAAGGCUCACCUAGGCGACGAUCCCUAGCUGGUCUGAGAGGAUGACCAGCCACACUGGAACUGAGACACGGUCCAGACUCCUACGGGAGGCAGCAGUGGGGAAUAUUGCACAAUGGGCGCAAGCCUGAUGCAGCCAUGCCGCGUGUAUGAAGAAGGCCUUCGAGUUGUAAAGUACUUUCAGCGGGGAGGCGUUACCCGCAGAAGAAGCACCGGCUAACUCCGUGCCAGCAGCCGCGGUAAUUC
rnacentral:rRNA from 1 species